GUUUAGUGACAGCAGGGAUAGCUGAACGUUUUGAUAUAAGAUUUGUGUAGGUGGGUUUGAAAAUAAGGGAGUGGUGGCAGUUUAGAAAUCAUGUCCUGAUUUUUCAGCUCUUGCCAGCUCCCACUCUAGCUUUGCCAUUCAUUCCUAUGGGACAAAUUUCGCCACAAGAACGACGAUAUUCCGUGAACCAUUCGGCGAAACGUUCCACAAAGUAAUAGCACACCAAUCUGGAACAAUCCGCACGUUUCGGUUUAUUUCUGUCUAUGUAGUGUAAAAACUGUGGGAGGAGUUAGGGUGGUAAAUUUGGCUAUAAUAAUAAUAAUAAUAUAUGUGAGAUAACAUUAAGUGGUCUUGCUAUGCAAGAACACUUAAU